AGUGAAUGAAGAUGGCGGAAGGUGGUGCGGCGGAUGCGGAGACGCAGAGAGGAGAGAUUGCGACGCUGCUCAAAACGCCGCUACGCAGAGCUGACACAUGGUAUUUGGUGGACAGUCACUGGUUCAAAAAGUGGAAGAAAUAUGUCGGCUUUGACAGCUGGGACAAAUAUCAGAUGGGUGAUCAGAACGUCUAUCCUGGACCGGUGGAUAACUCAGGCCUGCUCAAAGAAAAAGAUGUGCUGGGCAUUAAGGAGCACCUCAUCGAUGAACUGGAUUAUAUCCUGGUGCCAACGGAGGGCUGGAGUAAGUUAGUGAGCUGGUACGGACUAACAGAUGGACAGGAGCCCAUUGCACGUAAGGUGGUGGAGCAGGGAAUGUUCGUGAAACACUGUAAGGUGGAAGUCUACCUUACCGAACUGAAACUAUGUGAAGACAGCAACAUAGACAAUGUCAUCACGAGAAGAUUCAGCAAAGCAGACACCAUAGACUCCAUUGAACGAGAGAUGCGGAAAUUAUUCAGUAUUCCAGACGAGAAGGAGACCCGGUUAUGGAAUAAAUACAUGAGCAACACGUUUGAGCCACUCAAUAAACCAAACAGCACCAUUCAGGAUGCCGGACUCUACCAGGGACAGAUUCUAGUUAUUGAGCAGAAGAAUGAAGAUGGCACUUGGCCUCGCGGCUCCACACUGAAGUCAUCUGGCUCUUCCACACAAUCUGCUUUACCAAAGAUCUGCUCUUCAUCCCUCACAAACAAUCAUAACAGCAGCUUCAGCGGCCGCAAUUUGAAGAACUCCAGCUACAGUCUGCCAUCGUAUCCUCCAUAUAACAGUUUUGAGUACUCAGACCAGCGGCGCGGUGAGAAGGCCGGACAGUGUGGUCUGUCGAACCUUGGCAACACCUGCUUCAUGAACUCUGCCACACAGUGUUUGAGUAAUAUCCCUCCACUGACCGAGUUCUUCCUGAAAGAUAAGUACCAGGAUGAGUUGAAUGAAGAGAACCCUUUAGGAAUGAAGGGAGAGAUCGCCAAAGCUUACGCCGAACUCAUCAAACAGCUCUGGUCUGCCAAAUACAAUUAUGUCACACCAAGACCAUUCAAGACUCAGGUGGGCAAGUUUGCUCCUCAGUUCUCGGGGUAUCAGCAGCAGGACUCUCACGAGCUGCUGGCCUUUCUUCUGGAUGGUCUUCAUGAAGAUCUGAACCGCAUCAGGAAGAAGCCCUACAUUCAGCUCAAAGAUGCUGACGGCCGACCGGACAAGGUGGUGGCAGAGGAAGCGUGGGAGAACCAUAUCAAGAGGAAUGACUCCAUCAUCGUGGAUAUUUUUCAUGGUCUUUUCAAGUCCACUCUGGUCUGUCCCGUGUGCGCAAAGAUCUCUGUGACCUUUGACCCCUUCUGCUAUUUGACACUUCCUCUGCCCUUGAAGAAGGAGCGCACGCUGGAGGUGUAUCUGGUGUGGCUGGACCCCCUCACCAAACCCACACAGGCCUCUUUAUAACCAGACUCAACCCUGCAGGCGAAAGAACAUCUAUGUUAAGCUCACUUAUAUAUAUACAUACACACUGCCAUUCAAAAGUUUGGGGCCACUUGACUGAAGUGUUUCUCAUGAUCUUAAAAAUCUUUUGAUCUGAAGGUGUAUGCUUAAAUAUUUGAAAUUAGUUUUGUAGACAAAAAUAUAAUUGUGCCAACAUAUUAAUUUAUUUCAUUAUAAAAUUACAGUUGCAUUAAAAAAAAAAAAAAAGUUUUUUUAAAUUGAUGACUUGGACUGAACAAAAAAAAAAAGCAGCUAAUAAGUGCCCAGUAUUGAUGGGAACUCCUUCAAUACUGUUUAAAAAGCAUCCCAGGGUGAUACCUCAAGAAGUUGGUUGAGAAAAUGUCAAGAGUACAUGUCUGCAAAUUCUAGGCAAAGGGUGACUACUUUGAAGAUGCUAAAAUAUAACAGAGUUUUGAUUUAUUUUGGAUUUUUUUAGUCACAACAUAAUUCCCAUAGUUCCAUUUAUGUUAUUCCAUAGUUUUGAUGACUUUACUAUUAUUCUAAAAUGUGAAAAAUAAUAAUAAUAAAGAAUGAAUAAGUGACCCUAAACUUUUGACCGGUAGUGUGUGUGUUUGUGUGUAUAUAUAAAACCUGAUACUUUUGAAAAGGAGGGAGAUACCUAUGUAGGGCAGGUACAAUCAUUUCAGGCUGACUUUGAACAAAUUAAGGUUUAUAUAUUGGACAUUAAAAAUUAAGUGCAGUAAACAGAGAAACCGGAAAGGGCAGUGGUAGAUUAUUUCCUGAGGAGUGACAUCCAACUUUUCUCCCUAACAUUGUCCCAAGACUCUAGUUAAUACCCAAAGAGUAAAUGUUAUGCCUCGUAGUCAUUUGAGUACUACAUAUACUGUAGAGCCUGACUGAUAUGGGAUUUUUGAGACCGAUACCGAUUUUAGAGAGGGAAAAUUUACAGAAUACCGAUAUGGUAACCAAUAUAGUUUAAUUUUUGAGCUGGAAUGAAACCAGACCUUUUCUAUGUGGAUUGUGCACUGAUUUUGCACCGAUAUGACUAUGCAAAGGUACUCAGAAGGCUACUUUCUAAAAACAAAUAUUUUUAUCAAAGAAUAUUUGACAUUAUUAUUAUGCAUUGCCAACAAAUUCUAGAAUUGAACACUGAGAAAAUAAAGAAUAAAUAAAAAUACAAUAAACAGCUUAAAAAACAUCAGUACUGUAUGUUUAGUAUCAGUCAGCUGCUGACCAUUUAAAUAAAGAAUAAAUUAAAAUACAAUAAAUAGCUAAAACAUCAGUACUGUAUAUUUAGUAUCAGUCAAAUGCUGACCAUUAAAAUAAAUAAAUAAAAAUAAAAUAAAUAGCUAAAUAAACAUCAGUACUGUAUGUUUAGUAUCAGUCAAAUGCUGACUAUAUUAAUAUUGCAGCAUUGUUACAUCGUAUUCUGCUAUACAAGUUCAGGGGAAACUUUUAACAAUGGAAAACCAGACUUUUAAAUAUUACAUUUUAUAAAUGCAACGACUGGAAUUGUUUGGUUGAAGGGGGUACCAAACUGUGAAUCCUGAAUAAAACAGUUUGGUGAAUACAUGUUUACACAUUAGCUUACACUCAGCUGACAACAAUGAAAGUAGCUACGUGGUUAGCUAGUUAGCUAUAAGCUCAUUGUCACGGAGAGUAAAAGAUGGACAUUGUUUAUUUACUUUCCAGCAUUGGCGUCUCACCAACUAGGUAACAACAUGAAAUCAACACUCAACAGACACAAUCCACCACUGCACCGUUGUCUGCUGAGCUGCAAAAAGAUGCUCUGAUGUUUACCUUUCAAUCUGCUACAUUACUGACUACACUGACAAACUAUAGCUGGCUAACAUAGUAAACAGGUGUGAUAGCAUGAGUGACAUGGUUGUCAGGGACAGGGUUAAUGUUAUAUUAGUUAUAUUGAAAAGGGAAAAUGAUGGGGUCAUUGUUUAUUAACUUUCCAGUAUGUAUUGCACAAACUAGUUAGCAACUUACAGAGAAGACUGUAUCCUGCUUAUCUCUGCCCUGUCUGCAGAUCCUGAGUCGGAGCACGGUCUGCUGGACAAACUACGUUAUGACACCAAUUCUAAAGCAUUGUUUUCUGCAUUAUAUGUUCUGAAAAAAAUGCAUUUACACCCGAGGUGGUAGUGUGGUGAUGAUGCAACUUUUACACCUCGGUAUGUAGAUUAAUUUUCAAUAAUUCAACGAUCAAAGUCCGCUUAUACCGCCGUCACAUGUAGGGCCCUAUGAUUUCUGUGAUGUGGAAAACACAGAUGGAAUUACUGAAUUCAGUCAUAAAGUUGCAUUAGCUAUAAAAUGUGAAAUGUCAUGGAAUUUGACAUAUUUGGGACGAAUAUGAAUGUUUGAAUGCACAACUAAUUAAAAUCUCAAUAUGUCCAAGUGUGAUUAUUAAACCGCAACAAGCUGUGAUUCAAUUAAAUAAAUAUAUAAUCUGCUUGUGAUGUGUGCUUAAAAAUGAAUGUGUGAAGCCGGCUGCUCGUAUGUUGAAAACACCUCAACAUGAGCAUCUGUGUGUGUAGUAGAUGACAGUAAGCAGAGCACUCUGAAGCGUGCAGCACAUACAAACUAUAUAUUUAUUUAGAUGAAAUCAUAGCUUUUUGGACUUUAAUAAUCACACUGGGCCAUGUAGCGAACUGCUUAUCUGGAGGUGCGAAACUGGCGUCACGUUUUAAUGAACGCAUGAAAUGGGAAAAAAAGAUCAUGAUUAAUGUAGUUAAAUAAUAAUAAUGUAUUAAAGCAAUAUCUCGCAUCUGUGAUGUUCUGUUGUGCAGCACUUCAUUUGACAAAAAUAUCUCCAGUAUUUCGGAUUAUGCUGUGAGGAUUUUGUAGAAAAGCAAUUAAUUUGAUAAACAUAAUGCAAUGUUAUUUUAAUUAAUUAAAUUUUUUAACAUAAUUAUAUUUUCAGUUGAUUCAAGUUUUAAAUUAAUUUGAUUAGGCACCAUUUUGAUGAUGAAUGUUUUUUAUUAUUAACAAUUUUUAUUGAUUCCAUUCAACAAAUUAAAUAAACAUAACAGAAAAUGCGGAAUCAAAUUCUAUAAAAUUAAACCCUUCCCCCCCGAACAUUCAACCCCACCCCCCAUUCUUUAUGUAUUUAUCCCCUAUAUUAAUGACCGCCCCAUCGCCUAAUAUACAGAGUCUGGGGCAAAAUGAAAUUUGAGUGCCCAAUACGUCACACAUAAAACUCUGAACCCACAAACAAAAUUCUUGGAUCUUAACACACUACCAGAAAACAUGGGUUGUGCCUCUACUGAUUGGCAUCGCCAGCAGGUGGGUGUGUCUUUAAGACCAAGCCUAUACAAUCUAGAGGGGGUCCAAUAGAAUCAAUUUAAAAUCUUGAAUUGCAUAAGGCGCACCCUUGCAUCUCUAGAUGUAGACUUGACAUUUUGUAGAAUCCUAGCCCACACUCUCUCCUACAAUACCAAGUUUAAAUCUAUCUCCCAUAAUCUCUUGAGAGAAGUUGAAGCUCCAUCCCCCAGACUCUGAAUUAGCAGAUAGUAAUACACUGAUGCCUCAUGACCUUUUUCAAAAGCAGUAAUCACCACUCCCAGAGUAUCUGCCGCUUUCGGGGGGUGUAUGCUAUUCCCAAAAAUAGUACAGAGCAGGUGUCGCAGCUGUAAAUACCUAAAGAACUGAGACCUGGGAAAUCCAAAAUGUUGAACCAUAAUUUCAAAGGAUCUCAACACUCCACUCUCAUAUAGGUCACCGAGUGUAUUAACCUCCCUCACAAUCCACUCUGUCCAGCAGAAAAGGGACUUAUACUUAAUUUGGGGUUCAGCCAUAUGCUCGAGGCUACAUUUAAAUAAAUGUCCGAAUUAAACACUUUUGUCCAUACCGAGUGCAAAUGUGAAAUGACGGGGUGUAACUUCUCUGGUUAGUUUGAUAGAAAGGCUUUGCAAUUGUGAAAUAGGGGCAAGAACUUUGUGUUCAAUACAAAACCAAGGAGGGGCUCUCUCAGGUGGGAGCGACCAAUGAGCCAAAUAUCUGAGACCAAAUGCAUAAUAAUAAAACAAAAUCUUGGGUAGGCCUAGCCCACCUUUGUCAAUUGGCCUAUGUAAUUUACUGAAAUAUAAUCUGAGACGUUUACCAUUCCAAAUGAAGGACUUCGCUAUGCUAUCAAAUUGCUUGAAAUAAGAGAGGGGGACAUCUAUAGGGAGAGAUUGUAGCAGGUAGGAAUUUUGGAAUACAAUUCAUUUUAAUAACAUUAACCUUCCCAGUCAUAGAUAAAUGUAAUGAAGCCCAUCUACCCACAUCGAAAACCUUUUUAUUAAAGGGUCAAAAUUAAAUCUAACUAAAUCACACAUAUUUGCUGGGAAUAAAAUGCCCAAAUACUUAAUGCCCUGUUUGGCCACUGGAAGGCGCCCGGCUGAAAAGCCGUUACCGGGCAGUAUGCUGUCAGAGCCAAAGCUUUGUAUUUAACAAACUGACUCUGUAUUCUGAGAAUUUAGAAAAGGAAUUAAUAAUUCUGUGGAGGCAAGGCAUAGAUCUAGUAGGGUUGGAGACAAAUAAUAAAAUAUCAUCUGCAUAAAGCAAAAGCUUAUGAGCCACACCUCCUGCCACCACCCGGUGCUCUAGGGGGCUUGCACGCUUUUGCUCCACUCAUAUUAACAUUUGACAUUUUGACAUACAAGAAAAAAUGUAUCAUGUGUAAAAACAAGAUUAUAAAGACCACAUUCCAACAUUAGUGAAACCAUCAAAACCUGAACAGCCCCCAGAACCAAACAAAAAGAACGUGCGCAUUAACCCCGUGCACGAAAGCACCAACUGGCAUCCAACCCUCUAAACUCAAACAGUCCAUGCACGCCUACGAGAACCCCCAUGACAAUUUUGCCAUCGGAUUACUCAAGUCCCGUGUUCCUAUACAAAUUUUGUGAGACAGAAUUACAUAGCAAAAGAUAAUCUACAAAAUAAACUCCAGCCGCUAGGCGGAACCAGCACAAAAAAAGCAUGCAGAUUCGUCAAACAGUCAAACGAAUGUUCAGUGAGCCGGUCCACUCGGCUGCAACAUGAGUGCAAACAAAUGACUUAAUCACUCCAAUAUCUUUGCAAGAAAUACUCCACAAAACAAACUCCAGCCAAUUGGAGGAAUAAGUACAAAGAGCAUGUAGAUUCAUCUAUAAAACUUUCCUGAAUGUGUGUUACUCUACAAAUGAAACUCCAGCCGCUAGGCGGAACCAGCAAAAAAAAAGCACUCAGUUUCCUCAAACAGUCAUGUGAAUAUUCAGUAAGCCGGUCCACUCAGCUGCAACGUGAGUACCACAAGAUGACUUACUCACUCCAUUGACUUUAUGAAGGACAUCGCUUGCUGUGAGCAUGUGAAUGUUUUACAGCCAUCCUUAGCAUCUAUUCUCAAUUUGGCUGGGAAUGUCAGUACAAAAGCAACCUUUUGUUGAUGUAAAAUUUUCUUGCAUUCCUUGCAUCGAUCACGUUUCUCUCUGGGAAAAAGAAAAUGCUGUGGUUUUUCUAAGAAAGCCUUCCUUUACUCCUCGCCUCGCAUAACACAAGAUUUUUAUUGGAAGAUCUCAGAAAUUUGGCCAGAAUUGAUCGGGGCCUGUCUCCCUCCACGGAUUGCCAAGCAGGAACCCUGUGAGCUGGCUCGAUUUCCAGCUUAUGGCCUGCUAUGUCAAGAAGAUUCGGAAGGAGUUAGUCAGACCGGUGGUGCCCCGGCCUGAAUCGUGAGGAGGAGGAGGGUGUGGUUGGGCCGUGAUGGAGCAUGGCCAGCGCUGAAUCGGCUGAUCAGCGGGAGAGUGAGAUAAAGGGCAGCCGGAGACUAUGAUUCUGGAGAGAGAGAGAGAGACGCACGCGGCCGCAUUGCAUGUGUGUCAUUAUGUGUAUGUUUGUUUUAUGUUGAGUUUCUGAAUAAACUUUACAUUGACUGUUCAACCGGUUUCCGCCUCCUCCUUGCCCGUCCUUAUACUGUUUCACAUACUAAAGUAUGCUGUCAUUAGCAAAAUGUAAUGUAAUGUGAGAGUUUUGAGAUGAAAUCAAAGACCAUUUGAAAAUAAUAAUAAAAAGCCUCUAUAUGGCCAGGUGUGAUCAUUAAACAGCAGAAGGAUGUAAUUUAAUGAAAUAAUAUACAGUCACAUGCGCUGCGCACCACAGUAUGAAUAAGAGGCACCUCUCUGCCCUGUCAUCUCCUUCACACACAGACACACACUAAUAAUGCUUGAGUUUCAUGCACUGUGUCCAAUAGGAUCCAUCUGCAGAGCCACAGAUCAGUGUGUUGAGAUCAGACGGCUGUGAACUCUAUAAUGAACUCUUUCUCCGUAGCAGCUCGGAGAUUUCAGCUGCGAGUCGUGGGAAGCUUGAUAUAACGAACUCUUCACAAACAGGAAGAACUUCAAAGAUCUUUGAAAAUAAAAGUCCCGCUGAAAUGUGAGCCCUAUUCAACUGAUUGCGUGAAAUUGAAGAAAUUGUAAUAUUCAAGUGUAUAAGACAAGUGUAAUAUUCAAAGCAGUCACAAUUAUACUCAUAGUGUCACGGCUCCGGUGAGUUUGCUGGUUUAUUCUGUUGUUUUGUUUUUCUCUCUCCCUCUUGUCUCACAAGAGGGAGAUGCCGGCACGCAUGGUCAGCGUUUCCAUGGGAGCACUGAUUGUUCCCAGGGAGGCGCUGAUCGUGCCACUGAUUAAUGUGCUUGCUACACCUGUUCCACUCUAAUUGCACUCCCUAUUUAAUCCUUGUGUGUCCUCACUAUCUUUGCUAGUUUAUUGUUUGACCUUUCAAGUGUUAACCUUGCUCUCUUUGUAUAGUCGAUGCUGUCUCUUGUAUCUGUUGGUUGCCUGUCUCUGCCCACGUGUCAGAAAGUGUGGUUACCUUCCUGUUUACUGUAUGCCUGUCCUCGCUGCCCACAAAUCACCAGUGGAGGAUUCCUCGUCUUUGCCUGCGCGUCAGGAAAAUGCCAGCCCUUCUUCGCCUGGGCUUUGUUCUUCACCACACCACGCUUCAACAGACACUUCCUAUGGAUCUGCUCCUGACUUCCACAAUGCAAUCACCUGUCUGAGAACACACUCCUCCCUUUGCCCACUGCGCGACCAUUACGUGCUCCAAGACUCGCCUCCUGCCACUGCAGCCGGUGCCGGAUCGCUAGCCUUCACCAGUCCAGUUUCAAUAGACUUUUUCUGUUGUUAAUAAAUCCUUUGAACUGUUCAUCUGCUUUUGGGUCCCUUUGUCUCACUCUCAUUCUGACAGAAUAAACUAGCAUAACAUGGACCCAGCGGAGGAAUCGACUCUUCGCUCCGCCCUCUUGCAGCAAGGAGCCUUGCUGGGCAUGAACAAGACCAAAUCUCCGCUUCGAACCGGGCAUCGGAGAUCCAACAACUCCGCCCAUCUCCCUAUCCCGGCCCAUCUCAAGAUACACCCCCAUCGGCUCUGACGGUUCCCCAUGCCCCUUGGCGCGCAUCCUCCCUCCAGCUCCAUUCUCAGGUGAGUCAGGAUCAGUUAGCGCCUUUCUCCCUACAGCCCUCAACUGCAAUGUGGGACAACUGACAUCCAUGCUACACCACUUAUGAAGCGUUCUCCUCUGAACUUCGCAGAAUGUUUGAUUGCGUGGCUCAAGGUCGGGAGGCUGGGAGGGUCUUAUCCGGACUGUCCCAAGGAGAUUGACGAGUCACUGACUAUGCGAUAAAGUUUCACACCCUGGCCACAUCCUGCGAGUGGAACAACCACAGCAUGUGGGACCUGUUUUUGUGUGGGCUUUCUUAUAAUCGUCCAGGAUGAGAUUUAUCCUUUUGGAUCUUCCCCCUCAUUUCGACAACUUGGUGGACUUGGCUAUCCGAGUCGAUCAACGACUGGCCCUGCACCGUGAUCACCAUCAACGCUGCUCUUCACCCUCUCAGGCGGCUGACCAUUCCCACGACCCACUACUUCGACCAGGUCACCUGAAUCUUGCCCCGACACCGAGCCUAUGCAAGUCGGAAGAACCCCAAUGUCAUGUAAGGAGAAACAGCGACGCCUAGAUAAAGGACUAUGCUUUUCUUGUGCCCUGUCUGGCCACUUCUGUUUUGCCUGCCCGUUAAAAGACACCGCUCAUCAGUAGGAAGGGGGUUACUAGUGAACACAACCCCAUUGGACAAAGCCCCCGGACUUCGUACACUUCUCCCAGCCCAGCUGCAGUAUGGCUCUGCCAGUUACACGGUCUGGGCUCUGGUGAAUUCCGGUGCCGAACGGAACUUCAUUGACAUUGACUUGGCUUCAAAGUGGCUGCUUCCCAGGGUCCAAUUGGACGAACCCAUCACCGCCCACACUCUCAGUGGCACGCCCCGUCAAUCAUCACACAGUCCACUAAGCCAGUCACCCUCGUCUCCAGUAAUCAUUCAGAACAACUGUCCUUUUUAUCUGAUCCAGUCUCCAUCGACCCCGGUAGUGUUGGGGCAUCCUUGUCUUGUGUUUCAUUGCUGGAUGAACUGGCGGAUUUGUCCGAAGUGCCAUUGACGUACCGUGACUUGAGGGCGGUGAUCAGCCGGUCCCACGCCACGACCCUCCCUCCUCAUCGCCCGUACGACUGUGCGAUUGAACUGCUUCCUGGCACCUCUCCUCCUCUGGGAUGGCUGUAUUCGCUCUCAGCUCCCGAGAGGGAGGCUAUGAACAGGUAUAUCAAUGAUUCUCUGGCGGCCGGUUUCAUCCGCCCUUCCUCGUCGCCCACAGGGACGGGGUUCUUCUUCGUGGAGAAGGAUGGCUUGCUUAGACCCUACAUAGAUUAUUGGAGGCUGAAUGACAUCACGGUGAAGAAUCGUUAUCCUUUGCCGUUGAUAUCCUCAGCCUUCGAAAUCUUGCAGGGGGCGUCCGUUUUUACGAAGUUGGACCUACGCAAUGGUUAUCACCUGGUCCGAAUCAGGAAUAGAGUGGAAGACGGACUUUAACACCCAUAGGGGGCACUUCGAAUAUUUGUUUAUGCCUUUCGGAUUGGUCAACGCCCCCGCCGUCUUCAAGGGGCUCAUAAAUGACAUGCUUAGAGACAUGGUUGAUCAUUUUGUGUUUGUUUAUCUUGACGAUAUUCUGUUUAAAAUGUUUUUAUUUUGAAAGGCAUGACAUUGAUAUGGUUCUUUUACACAUAACAAACAAACAUCACAGCAACAAAGGAGGAAAAAAAAGGAAAAGAUACAUAUACAUACAUAUACAUCCUGGCCACCCCCCUUCCCAACACAAACUACAUUCAAGAAUCGGUUCCUUCUACGAGAUGAGUGACUAAAGGUUGCCAAAUUUUCUCAAAAUCUUUUAGCUUAAUAAUAAAUCGGAUUUUCUCAAGGUGGAGUGUGUCUACUAUAAGCCAUAGUUUCAGUGUUGGGACUUCUUUCUUUUUCCAAAAUAAUCAAAUGAGUUUUUUCGCGGUGAUGAGGCCAUAUGCCAGAAGGCGCUUUUGUGCCACGUUUAGUUCCCUUACAACAUCCGAUACCCCCAGAAUUAUUAAAAUAGGAACUGGGUCUAUCUGAACCUUCAAUAUUUUUGACAAAAAAG